rnacentral:rRNA from 1 species
AUUGAACGCUGGCGGCAUGCUUUACACAUGCAAGUCGGACGAGCGGCGAACGGGUGAGUAACGCAUCGGGAUGUGCCUAGUAAUGGGGGAUAACUGCCCGAAAGGGUAGCUAAUACCGCAUAUCAUUCGAGCAGUCGAUGUGGGAUUAGCUUGUAGGUGAGGUAACGGCUCACCAAGGCGACGAUCCCUAGCUGGUCUGAGAGGAUGAUCAGCCACACUGGGACUGAGACACGGCCCAGACUCCUACGGGAGGCAGCAGUGGGGAAUAUUGCACAAUGGGCGCAAGCCUGAUGCAGCCAUGCCGCGUGUAUGAAGAAGGCCUUCGGGUUGUAAAGUACUUUCAGUAGGGAGGCGUUACCGGAAGAAGAAGCACCGGCUAACUCCGUGCCAGCAGCCGCGGUAAUAC